rnacentral:rRNA from 1 species
UUCUGGCUCAGGAUGAACGCUAGCUACAGGCUUAACACAUGCAAGUCGAGGGGCAGCAUUGGGAUAGCUUGCUAUUCAGAUGGCGACCGGCGCACGGGUGAGUAACGCGUAUCCAACCUUCCUGCCAGUAGGGAACAGCCCGGCGAAAGUCGGAUUAAUGCCCUAUGUUCUUCAAUGCGGACAUCUAAGUUGAAGGAAAGAUUCAUCGCUGGCAGAUGGGGAUGCGUCCGAUUAGCUUGCCGGCGGGGUAACGGCCCACCGGGGCGACGAUCGGUAGGGGUUCUGAGAGGAAGGUCCCCCACACUGGUACUGAGACACGGACCAGACUCCUACGGGAGGCAGCAGUGAGGAAUAUUGGUCAAUGGGCGUAAGCCUGAACCAGCCAAGUAGCGUGCAAGGGAUGACGGCCCUACGGGUUGUAAACUGCUUUUAUGCGGGGAUAAAGUGCGGCACGUGUGCCGCUUUGCAGGUACCGCAUGAAUAAGGACCGGCUAAUUCCGUGCCAGCCGCCGC